rfam:Tetraodon nigroviridis chromosome undetermined SCAF14565, whole genome shotgun sequence.
ACAACGGCUCUUUUAAGAGCCACUCACUUCUCAUAAAAGGGCUAU